GCCAACGACACGAAACGAAUGGUCAAUUCAGUCAAAACGGAGCUCCCCAGAUAGAAACGCGACGCGGCAACGGUACUUCGCUGGCAGUUGUGGCAAUAAAAAUACAAAAAGAUAAAGCAGGAAGAAAAAAGUGAACAAAUUAAAUAAAUUUUUAAAGAUCUAAAUAUUAUUUGUGCAGCAGCUUAUUGUUACUCGCCUAUAGAGGUUUUGAAUUGUGGUGGUGGUGCGCUGGAAAAGUGCUCAACGCGGUGCCGUUAAUUUUGUGUGCGUCCCUGCGUAUGCAUCGGAAUGUGGCUGUGGAAAAAUGGAAAUUAUGACCACAAAUUCCGAGUGUAAUCAAGUGCAGAAAAGUGCUCCGCCAAAGUGAAGGCGUGUGUGCGGGGCAAAAGGGGGCGUGAAUGUGGUAAAGAAGAUUAAAAUAAAAUAAAAUAAAAUAUAUAUGCAUGUCAAAUUACUCGCUGUAAAGUGCAUUUAAUCCAUAAGUAAUUCAAUUAAAAAGAAAUUGCAUAAUUUUGUUGGUGAAAAUGUUGCGGGCACUUUAAACCACAGCGCCAAGAAAAGAGCUGUCAAAUUACCGUGACGUCAAUUCAUUAACUAACUAAUAGUCGCUUAACUCUGAACCCGCAGCCGAAAAAUAAUGUAUCGUCAUCAUUGUGAGCGCACAACGAAUCAUCGAUAGCAUGACCCGUGACGGAGAGAUACCCGCCAUUUUCAACCCGAAACGGGUACGUACACCAUCCGUUGUCGUAACCGGUGACUCUCCGAAUGGUCCCUAUGGUGGGUUUAGUAAUGCGCUCAACUCCAGCAAUCCACAAAUUGCCCACCAAGACUCAAUAUCAUCGAGUCAACAGGAUCCGAGUGAAGUUAUAACAAUACAUCCGGAUACACGUGAUGCGUCGACGCCGAUUGGCACACAUCCAGGUCUGCGACGUGGACUUGGUGCUGGCGGUGGCAGUUUCGUAAGUAGUUGUGGUGUAAGUGGUAUUGUCGGUGUGGGGCCCGGUUGUGUUGUUAGUGGUACAAAUGAACCGGAUACACCCACUUUGGAGGCGGGAUCAGAUGGCACCGAAGUGCGGUUUCGCCGAUUAAAAGCAUGCAAGGAGUCGUGUUGCUCCGAACUGGCGCGGAAGAUGUACUUUGGUGUUUGUGUCACCAUACUCGUCACCGCGUCGUGGGUCGGCGCAACGCACUGCAUCAAAUUCCUCUACUUGAAUCGCAGCACGUAUGCUAGUAUUACGGCAGAUGACAUCGAUAGCACAUCAAAUCGCGCCAUCGAGCUGGACUUGGUCACAAAUAUGGAUGAUGACGAUGAUCCGAGAAAUAUUUUGGGCAUAAGUGAUAACGCCUUGAGCGCCGAUGAUAUGGAGGAUGCUACAAAAUUUUUCCAUGUCGCACAGCCAAUUUCGCCAGAGUCGACAGUAUUUCGUGCGCCCUUCUUUGCCGCUUGGUUCUUCACAAAUUUUUCGUUCUUUUUCUUUCCCAUCUACAUCUUGGGACGUGUGUCGUUGCGCAAAUGUGACAAACCAGGCGAGAUCUUGGGCGAUGUCUUGCGCGGUUUCCGCGAUCGUGGUUUUACCAUCGGUCGCUUCCUUAACCGUUGUCUCUCCUUCUGCAUCCUUUGGCUGGUGACCACUUACUUAUACACCAUGUCCCUACGCGUACUAUUUGCCACCGACGCGAUGGCGCUGUUUGCGACAAAUGUCGCUUGUGUUUACCUGCUGUCUUGGGUCAUUUUACACGAACAGUUUGUGGGCGUGCGGAUUGUUGCGGUUAUUCUGUGCGACACGGGCAUUGCGCUGCUCGCCUACAUGGACGGCAUUACCGAGAGUCGCACGCUGAGCGGCGUUGUGCUGGCAACACUAGGCGCUGCUGGUUAUGCCGUAUUCAGGGUUAUGUUCCGCAAAGUGAUGGGUGAUCCGCCGAUUGGUCAAAUUGCUUUCGCUUUCACCACUCUCGGAUUCCUGAAUGCGUUGCUGUUAUGGCCCGUCUGUGUGGGCCUUUAUUUGGCGGGCUAUGAGAGCAUGCCACCGGAUCGUAUGCCAUGGAUUAUUUUAUUAAUCGCCAGUAUUUUAUUAUUGGUUUUCCACAUACUAAUGCAAUUCAGCGCAGCGGUCACUUAUAAUAUGUUUGUUACGCUGGGUUUGAUAACAGCAGUGCCAGUUUCAGGAGCUCUGGACGUUGUACUGUACGGCGCCACAUUUGCUGGCAUGAAAUUGGCUGGUGUCAUAUUAAUCGCUGUUGGCUUUUUCCUAGUUAUGUUCCCCGAAAACUGGCCAGACUACAUAACACGCUUGCUAAGAAAUAUCAUCUUGUUGGGUCACAACGCGAGUCGCCCAGCGUUUUGUAGAAGAGAUGUUGUGGUCGCAUCGCCCACCACAAGAUAGGCGUUCACGCAAUGCACAAAUUCAUAUGUCAAUUCUAAAACGUCAAAUAAUGUUAAAACACAAAUGUCAAAUGAGCGCACAGCAUAAUUGCAAUUCACCAUGCGUAAACGUAAAAGAACUCACCUCACUGUACAAGAACAUAUAAGUAUAGAAAAUUUACAAAAGAGCGAAUCAAUGAGGGUUAUAUCAAAUGAUUUAUAUUGUAACGGUUGUACACAUUAAAGAGCAGACAAACGUAAUGUAAGCGUAGCCGCUGCCAGCCACUUUGAUGGGGUCGAGGUCCUCGCCACGGAUCGUUAGCCGGUCAGCAUCCCACCAUUAUCGAUUAUCGGACGGGAUACAUAAGGUCCCAUCUUCGGUCACCAUCUGGCCGUGUGAGAUGACUGAUAUGUCGCCUACUGGAUUCCUACUCAAUCAACAGCAACAGCAACUACAACAACAACAAAACGCAGCACACCAACAACAAUAUGCCGGCUAUUCGACAUCAUCGGGCGCACACUCGAGCAGUCACAGCCACAGCAGCAGCUCAACGGCACGUGCGCCACCGAUUGGCAGUGGCGGCGGCGGUGUUGGCGGUCGUCUAUUCCCCUAUUUUGGUGGUGAUCACGAACGAGAGCGUAAAAAAUCGGAAACGUCAUUCUUCAAUUUGGGCUUUCGCCGCAAAUCGACCGUGGUCUAUUACGCUUCCACUGAUUAAGGGAGAGUGCACAGCAUAAACGGUGCUAUUGAGGCACUUCGAUGACUUGACUUGUUGACACACAAUCAUAGAAAGUAAGGUUAGAUGGCGCUUGUGCAGUGUUGCUGAGUAAAUAAUGAAUUUAAAUUACGAAAAUGAGGUUUGAAUUUCACAAACGAAAUACGAGUAUAAGAAUUUAUGCGAUUAACAGUAAGAAAUAAAAAACAGAAAAACAAAACAAUUUAAAAUGCAAAUUAGUUAAUAAUAUAUAGUGUAUGUGGAAUUAUUACAAAUAAUGCAUUAUUUUAGCGUAAUCCAUUUAACCAGCAAACACUUGGGAGUCCAUAUGUAUGUUAAAAAUAUUGAGGCGAAUUAGUGCUGCGAUCUAAAUAACAUAUAUGUUACAUACAUAUAUGACUACUAAUAAUAUAAUUAAUCACAUGAUAUCACCUUCAAGGUUGACAUACACAUACAUAUAACCAUAAAAAAUGAGUUACGCGUACACACAUGCAUACAAACACAUAUAUCGUACAUAGAUGCAUAUCUGUGGCCACAAGUCACGUGGUAAAGUAUACUGGAAAAAAAUAUUUUUAUAAAAAAUUCGCAACAUUUUUAAUUUUUUUGACUAUAAAAUGUAAACUUUUGAUUUUAUAAAGUUCCCAAAAAUUUACUAAAAUAAUUUUUAAAUAAUUCUCCAGCAAAGAGAGUUUAGUUGUAGGACCUUGUGGCUACAGAUAUGCAUAAAAAACUUAAAAAAAUUAAAUACAAGUAAAAAUUGUUUCUGCUCAAUUCAAAAUCUCGUAGAGAAUAAAUAAAAAUAAAAUAUAAUUAUUAAACAAUUUUAAAACACUUACAUACACCAUUGUACUAAAUGAUAGCAGUUAUUACUAACGUUUCAAUUGUGACAGACGUAUUCGUUUAAAAAUAUUUGAAAAAUUUUAAUGAAAAAUAUGUGUAUAAGAUAUUUAAUAAAAAAAAAUAAAUAUAAUAAUAACAUAGUUGUUAUUACUAUGCAUUGAAAAAAUAUAUAAAACAAUCUGAAAUUUUUACUGACAACUAACUAAAAUCCACUAAUAAUUGUAACGCCAACUAACUGUAACUGUUCGCAAUAGAGAUCACAACACGAUUGUCGAUAUCAAACCUCAUAAUAUAUAUUUUUUAUUACACACAAUUUAGGAGACAACUCCAACGACAGUUUGCAGCCGCCUCAAAACUGUUAGAACUCUUUAUUAUUAGAAAUAUGUAAUAACCAAAUUUUUGAACUGAAGGUGUUUGAAAUAAAUUUUUAACGGUCGUUACUUACCAUAUAUCCAUAUGUAAUUUUGAACCAAUAUUAUGUUUUCAAACAUUUCAAAGGAACUGACCAAAAAUGCGAGAUAAUUACAAUAAUUAAUUUUUUUAAAUGUUGCUUCUAUUCAAAGUUCUUUCAUUUCAUUAAAUAACGAUCAUCAAUCAUGGCACUACAUCUUGAUUUCAGAUUUCACCUGAUCCCAGCCAUUCACUUAUCUAAAAUAAUUGUACUAUUUGUCUCGAAGAGCUAUUCAGUUUCGUUCAAGCCGUUAUAGGGGAAACCAAACCACAAGUCAAACUUCGUAGAAGGCAAAAUAUAAUACAUUUUUCAAAAACCAUUUAUGAUUUUGCACUAAAAUUUGAUAAGAAAGAUGUGCGAAAAUACGAACUUGUUUGUUGUUAAAAUCGAUUAAUCGAUAUACUCGUACAUACAUAUUGUUGUUAACUCUUGAAAAUGCGUUAAAGUAGUAAAGUUUAUUUUUUUAUAAGUUGAUAAAUAAUUAUGUAAGGAAGUGAUGAGAUGUAAUCGUAUAGUUCCAUGUUAAUUAACUGUACUUGUAUUGUCAACACUUAUUUAUAACUAAAGAGUACAUUUCGGUACAAAAAUACCGAAGAAAUAAAAAUGUGAGAAAAUUGUUCAAUUACAAAAACAAAUAUAUUGUGUUAUAAGAAAUACUAUAAAGUGAAUAAUGUCGAAAAUAAAUAAUAACUAAAUGGAAAGUUAAA